rnacentral:rRNA from 1 species
AUUGAACGCUGGCGGCAUGCUUUACACAUGCAAGUCGAACGGCAGCGGGGUAGUGCUUGCACUACUGCCGGCGAGUGGCGAACGGGUGAGUAAUAUAUCGGAACGUACCGAGUAAUGGGGGAUAACCAAUCGAAAGAUUGGCUAAUACCGCAUACGUCCUGAGGGAGAAAGCGGGGGAUCGCAAGACCUCGCGUUAUUCGAGCGGCCGAUAACUGAUUAGCUAGUUGGUGGGGUAAAGGCCUACCAAGGCGACGAUCAGUAGCGGGUCUGAGAGGACGAUCCGCCACACUGGGACUGAGACACGGCCCAGACUCCUACGGGAGGCAGCAGUGGGGAAUUUUGGACAAUGGGGGCAACCCUGAUCCAGCCAUGCCGCGUGUAUGAAGAAGGCCUUCGGGUUGUAAAGUACUUUUGUUAGGGAAGAAAAGGGAAGUGCUAAUACCACUUUUUGCUGACGGUACCUAAAGAAUAAGCACCGGCUAACUACGUGCCAGCAGCCGCGGUAAUACGUAGGGUGCGAGCGUUAAUCGGAAUUACUGGGCGUAAAGCGAGCGCAGACGGUUAUUUAAGCAGGAUGUGAAAUCCCCGGGCUUAACCUGGGAACUGCGUUCUGAACUGGAUAGCUAGAGUGUGUCAGAGGGGGGUAGAAUUCCACGUGUAGCAGUGAAAUGCGUAGAGAUGUGGAGGAAUACCGAUGGCGAAGGCAGCCCCCUGGGAUAACACUGACGUUCAUGCUCGAAAGCGUGGGUAGCAAACAGG